AGCAGCCGCGGUAAUUCCAGCUCCAAUAGCGUAUAUUAAAGUUGUUGCAGUUAAAAGCUCGUAGUUGAACUUCGGGGUUUACUCAUUGGUCAGGCUUAAUUGUCUGUACUGGUGAGAUGAAUCUCUACCUUCUGAGGAACUUUCAUGCCAUUUAUUUGGUGUGAUUGGAAAUCAGGACUGUUACUUUGAAAAAUUGAGUGUUUAAAGCAGGCUAACGUCUGAAUACAUUAGCAUGGAAUAAUGAAAUAGGACGGAUUGAUUCUAUUUCGUUGGUUUCUAGGGUCACCGUAAUGAUUAAUAGGGAUAGUUGGGGGCAUUAGUAUUCAAUUGUCAGAGGUGAAAUUCUUGGAUUUAUUGAAGACUAACUACUGCGAAAGCAUUUGCCAAGGAUGUUUUCAUUAAUCAAGAACGAAAGUUAGGGAUCGAAGACGAUCAGAUACCGUCGUAGUCUUAACCAUAAACUAUGCCGACUAGGGAUCGGACGAAGUUAAUUAAUAAUGACGCGUUCGGCACCGUUAAC
rnacentral:misc_RNA from 1 species